rnacentral:rRNA from 1 species
AGAGUUUGAUCCUGGCUCAGAAUCAACGCUGGCGGCGCGCCUAACACAUGCAAGUCGAACGAGAAAGUGGAGCAAUCCAUGAGUAUAGUGGCGUACGGGUGAGUAACACGUGGGUAAUCUACCUCUUUGUGGGGAAUAACCCUGGGAAACCGGGGCUAAUACCGCAUAAGCUCGAGAGAGGAAAGCAGCAAUGCGCUGAGAGAGGAGCCCGCGGCCGAUUAGCUUGUUGGCAGGGUAAAAGCCUACCAAGGCAGAGAUCGGUAGCCGGCCUGAGAGGGCACACGGCCACACUGGCACUGAAACACGGGCCAGACUCCUACGGGAGGCAGCAGUGGGGAAUCUUGCACAAUGGGGGAAACCCUGAUGCAGCGACGCCGCGUGAGCGAUGAAGCCCUUCGGGGUGUAAAGCUCUUUCGGCAGGGAAGAUUAUGACGGUACCUGCAGAAGCAGCUGCGGCUAACUACGUGCCAGCAGCCGCGGUAAUACGUAGGCAGCAAGCGUUGUUCGGAGUUACUGGGCGUAAAGGGUGUGUAGGCGGUUCUUUAAGUUUGGUGUGAAAUCUCCCGGCUCAACUGGGAGGGUGCGCCGAAUACUGAGGGACUAGAGUGCGGGAGAGGAAAGUGGAAUUCCUGGUGUAGCGGUGAAAUGCGUAGAUAUCAGGAGGAACACCGGUGGUGUAGACGGCUUUCUGGACCGCGACUGACGCUGAGACACGAAAGCGUGG